rnacentral:rRNA from 1 species
UGGGGAAUUUUGGACAAUGGGCGCAAGCCUGAUCCAGCCAUGCCGCGUGAGUGAAGAAGGCCUUCGGGUUGUAAAGCUCUUUCGCGAGGGAAGAAAAGGUGCGCUCUAACAUAGCGUACUGAUGACGGUACCUUGAGAAGAAGCACCGGCUAACUACGUGCCAGCAGCCGCGGUAAUACGUAGGGUGCGAGCGUUAAUCGGAAUUACUGGGCGUAAAGCGUGCGCAGGCGGUUUUGUAAGACAGGUGUGAAAUCCCCGGGCUUAACCUGGGAACUGCGCUUGUGACUGCAAAGCUAGAGUACGGCAGAGGGGGGUGGAAUUCCACGUGUAGCAGUGAAAUGCGUAGAUAUGUGGAGGAACACCGAUGGCGAAGGCAGCCCCCUGGGCCGAUACUGACGCUCAUGCACGAAAGCGUGGGGAGCAAACAGG